rnacentral:rRNA from 1 species
CAGAGGGUGCAAGCGUUGUUCGGAAUCACUGGGCGUAAAGCGCGCGCAGGCGGAGAAGCAAGUCGGAAGUGAAAUCCAGCCGCUCAACGGCUGGGCUGCUUCGGAUACUACUUUUCUAGGGACCGGUAGAGGCUGGUAGAAUUGCAGGUGUAGCGGUGGAAUGCGUAGAUAUCUGCAAGAAUACCCGUGGCGAAGGCGGCCAGCUGGGCCGGGUCCGACGCUGAGGCGCGAAAGCGUGGGGAGCAAACAGGAUUAGAUACCCUGGUAGUCCACGCCGUAAACGAUGGGCACUAGGUGCUGGGGGGAGCGACCCCGUCAGUGCCGCAGCUAACGCGAUAAGUGCCCCGCCUGGGAAGUACGGCCGCAAGGCUG